AGUUUAUAGUAAAUAGUCGUAGGGAACAGACCGAAAUAGAAACAAUUCGCUAAUCGUUAUAAGUUAGUUAAGUAUAGUGUACAGUGUUUAAAAGAAUUAAGAACGUUACCGAAAUUCAAGCAAUAUGGAAAGUAAAAGGUUAGUAGAAGAUUAUUUUCCUAUGACCACUUAUGAAAAUGAUAGAUUGCACUCUCAUUUUUACCUGAGAAAAUAGCUUAUUUCACACAUGUACUGAAAAAUAACAAAACAUACAUGUAUUAAAAUGCCUCUUUUUCUACAACUGCUAUGAAAAGUGACGUCAAUCCAGUACCGUGGCAGAAAGAUACAUCGAAGAGUUUAUUGAAAAUAAAAUUGAAGUUGCUAAUAAAUCAUCAACUCCAAUGAAAACCCACUCGAACCCUUUAUAGAAAUGGAGACAGAAAAUACACCGUAUAUGAACGAUCAACCCUCAACAUCUAAAAUUAACAUAACACAGAAAA